rnacentral:rRNA from 1 species
ACUGAGCGGCGGACGGGUGAGUAACGCGUGGGCAACCUGCCUUACACAGGGGGAUAACAGUUAGAAAUGACUGCUAAUACCGCAUAAGACCACAGGACCGCAUGGUCCGGUGGUAAAAACUCCGGUGGUGUAAGAUGGGCCCGCGUCUGAUUAGGUAGUUGACGGGGUAACGGCCCACCAAGCCGACGAUCAGUAGCCGACCUGAGAGGGUGACCGGCCACAUUGGGACUGAGACACGGCCCAGACUCCUACGGGAGGCAGCAG